GCUUAACACAUGCAAGUCGAACGGAGUAAGCUCUGUGGAUCAGUGGCGAACGGUGAGUAACACGUGAGCAAUCUGUGAGCAAUCUGGGAUAAGCGCUGGGAAACGGCGUCUAAUACCGGAUACGAGCUGCGAUCGCAUGUUGUGUGGCUGGAAAGAAUUUCAGCUUGUUGUGAGGUCGCUGGCUAUCAACUUGUUGGUGGGGUAAUGGCUCACCAAGGGGUCGACGGGUAGCCGGCCUGAGAGGGUGACCGGCCACACUGGGACUGAGACACGGCCCGGGCUCCUACGGGAGGCAGCAGUGGGGAAUAUUGCACAAUGGGCGGAAGCCUGAUGCAGCAACGCCGCGUGAGGGAUGACGGCCUUCGGGUUGUAAACCUCUUUUAGCAGGGAAGAAGCGAAAGUGACGGUACCUGCAGAAAAAGCGCCGGCUAACUACGUGCCAGCAGCCGCGGUAAUACGUAGGGCGCAAGCGUUAUCCGGAAUUAUUGGGCGUAAAGAGCUCGUAGGCGGUCUGUCGCGUCUGCUGUGAAAACCCGAGGCUCAACCUCGGGCCUGCAGUGGGUACGGGCAGACUAGAGUGCGGUAGGGGAGAUUGGAAUUCCUGGUGUAGCGGUGGAAUGCGCAGAUAUCAGGAGGAACACCGAUGGCGAAGGCAGAUCUCUGGGCCGUAACUGACGCUGAGGAGCGAAAGGGUGGGGAGCAAACAGGCUUAGAUACCCUGGUAGUCCACCCCGUAAACGUUGGGAACUAGUUGUGGGGUCCAUUCCACGGAUUCCGUGACGCAGCUAACGCAUUAAGUUCCCCGCCUGGGGAGUACGGCCGCAAGGCUAAAACUCAAAGGAAUUGACGGGGACCCGCACAAGCGGCGGAGCAUGCGGAUUAAUUCGAUGCAACGCGAAGAACCUUACCAAGGCUUGACAUAUAGAGGAAACGGCUGGAAACAGUCGCCCCGCAAGGUCUCUAUACAGGUGGUGCAUGGUUGUCGUCAGCUCGUGUCGUGAGAUGUUGGGUUAAGUCCCGCAACGAGCGCAACCCUCGUUCUAUGUUGCCAGCACGUAAUGGUGGGAACUCAUGGGAUACUGCCGGGGUCAACUCGGAGGAAGGUGGGGAUGACGUCAAAUCAUCAUGCCCCUUAUGUCUUGGGCUUCACGCAUGCUACAAUGGCCGGUACAAAGGGCUGCAAUACCGUGAGGUGGAGCGAAUCCCAAAAAGCCGGUCCCAGUUCGGAUUGAGGUCUGCAACUCGACCUCAUGAAGUCGGAGUCGCUAGUAAUCGCAGAUCAGCAACGCUGCGGUGAAUACGUUCCCGGGUCUUGUACACACCGCCCGUCAAGUCAUGAAAGUCGGUAACACCUGAAGCCGGUGGCCCAACCCUUGUGGAGGGAGCCGUC
rnacentral:rRNA from 1 species